GGUCUCACUUGGCUAUAGAAGUUGUGAACAUUAUCAGCAAAAAACAGUAAAGAGAUUUCACUUUUGUUUGAAUCUCUAUGUUGCACCGGCCAUCUCUGUCUUUCUCUGCUUAGAUACCAAGCUUCAUAAUUCAAAUCUGUGGCAUGCAUCGUACUCACCAACUGUUGCACUCUUAUCCCUAAACAAAAGGGAUAUUUCAAACUGGCAACAUGCACCCCUAUUACACAUCAAUUGUUG
rnacentral:misc_RNA from 1 species